GACGAACGCUGGCGGCAUGCUUAACACAUGCAAGUCGAACGGAAUAUGGGUGCUUGCAUCCAUGUUUAGUGGCAAACGGGUGAGUAACACGUGGGAACUUACCCUUCAGAGCGGGACAAGCACUGGAAACGGUGUCUAAUACCGCAUACGCCCUCAGGGGGAAAGGAGAGAUCCGCUGAAGGAGAGGCCCGCGGCAGAUUAGGUAGUUGGUGGGGUAAAAGCCUACCAAGCCGAUGAUCUGUAGCUGGUUUGAGAGGAUGAUCAGCCACACUGGAACUGGGACACGGUCCAGACUCCGACGGGAGGCAGCAGUGGGGAAUAUUGGACAAUGGGGGAAACCCUGAUCCAGCAAUGCCGCGUGAGUGACGAAGGCCUUAGGGUUGUAAAACUCUUUUCUAAGUGAAGAUGAUGACGGUAACUUAGGAAUAAGCUCCGGCUAACUUCGUGCCAGCCGCCGCAGUAA
rnacentral:rRNA from 1 species